AACGAACGCUGGCGGCAUGCCUAACACAUGCAAGUCGAACGAGACCUUCGGGUCUAGUGGCGCACGGGUGCGUAACGCGUGGGAACCUGCCCUUAGGUUCGGAAUAACUCCCCGAAAGGGUGCUAAUACCGGAUAAUGUCUUCGGACCAAAGAUUUAUCGCCUUUGGAUGGGCCCGCGUUGGAUUAGCUAGUUGGUAGGGUAAAAGCCUACCAAGGCGACGAUCCAUAGCUGGUCUGAGAGGAUGAUCAGCCACACUGGGACUGAGACACGGCCCAGACUCCUACGGGAGGCAGCAGUGGGGAAUAUUGGACAAUGGGCGAAAGCCUGAUCCAGCAAUGCCGCGUGAGUGAUGAAGGCCUUAGGGUUGUAAAGCUCUUUUACCCGGGAUGAUAAUGACAGUACCGGGAGAAUAAGCGCCGGCUAACUCCGUG
rnacentral:rRNA from 1 species